rnacentral:rRNA from 1 species
UACGUAGGGGGGCAAGCGUUGUCCGGAAUCAUUGGGCGUAAAGGGUGCGUAGGCGGCGCGGUAAGUCGGGGUGUGAAAUCUCGGGGCUUAACUCCGAAACUGCAUUCGAUACUGCCGUGCUUGAGGACUGGAGAGGAGACUGGAAUUUACGGUGUAGCGGUGAAAUGCGUAGAUAUCGUAAGGAAGACCAGUGGCGAAGGCGGGUCUCUGGACAGUUCCUGACGCUGAGGCACGAAGGCCAGGGGAGCAAACGGG